rnacentral:pre_miRNA from 1 species
GGCAGUACAGGGUGUUUCAAAAAGAUGGGCCCGAUUUUAAAUCGCUAUAUCUCUGCAAUUGGGUCCAUCGUCUUGAAAUACCUUGUAUUUCC